AUUGAACGCUGGCGGCAUGCCUUACACAUGCAAGUCGAACGGCAGCGGACCUUCGGGUGCCGGCGAGUGGCGAACGGGUGAGUAAUAUAUCGGAACGUACCUUUCAGUGGGGGAUAACGUAGCGAAAGUUACGCUAAUACCGCAUAUUCUGUGAGCAGGAAAGCAGGGGAUCGCAAGACCUUGCGCUGAUUGAGCGGCCGAUAUCAGAUUAGCUAGUUGGUGAGGUAAAGGCUCACCAAGGCGACGAUCUGUAGCGGGUCUGAGAGGAUGAUCCGCCACACUGGGACUGAGACACGGCCCAGACUCCUACGGGAGGCAGCAGUGGGGAAUUUUGGACAAUGGGCGCAAGCCUGAUCCAGCCAUGCCGCGUGAGUGAAGAAGGCCUCGG
rnacentral:rRNA from 1 species